AUUGAACGCUGGCGGCAGGCCUAACACAUGCAAGUCGAACGAGUGGCGGACGGGGGAGUAAUGUCUGGGAAACUGCCCGAUGGAGGGGGAUAACUACUGGAAACGGUAGCUAAUACCGCAUACCAUCUGAUGUGCCCAGAUGGGAUUAGCUUGUAGGUGAGGUAACGGCUCUCCUAGGCGACGAUCCCUAGCUGGUCUGAGAGGAUGACCAGCACCAUGUGAAUGUAGACACGGUCCAGACUCCGACGGGAGGCAGCAGUGGGUAUUAUUGCACAAUGGGCGCAAGCCUGAUGCAGCCAUGCCGCGUGUAUGAAGAAGGCCGUCGGGUUGUAAAGUACUUUCAGCGGGGAGGCGUUACCCGCAGAAGAAGCACAGGCUAACUACGUGCCAGCAGCAGCGGUAAUUC
rnacentral:rRNA from 1 species